rnacentral:lncRNA from 1 species
AGAAAUUUUAAUGUCGACUUGAAGAUCCAGAACCAGAUCUGUGUUAUAAAUACUGAUGGGAGUUCGAAGCCAGCAUGGUCUACAGAGUGUUGCCACAGCAAGGCUAUAAUGUGUGCUGGGAAGGACUCCUUACAUUCAUGGCAUCAAGGAUCUUAUACCAGAGGCCUAAUUCAGCCUUCUGCAGCUUGUCUCCAUUCUUACCACCUUUCUGCUUCCUGCCAUAUGGAGAUGAAAACCCUCACCAGAUCCCAACACCUUGAUCUUUGACUUCCUGCUUUCCAGAACUGUGAGAAAAUGAUAGUCUGCAUUGCCCAGCCUUCUUAGUCUCAGCCCCGGUUCCUGUCCAGCCCCCAAGAGCAAAUGUGCAGCCGAUAGCAACAUUGGAAGCUCUGUCUUGCUAAGAACAUUAUAGAAUGGAAUGUUAGCCACUGUGGGAUGUGUUUGGAAUCAAUGAUGCUCCACCGAGGAACACUGCUCUGCUGCCCAGAUAAACAAUACUUCAUUCAAACAAGAUAAAUAGCCUAGACCACAGCUGCUAGAAGACUCACAGGCUGCUGGUGUGGUCAGGAUUGCUGCCACAGCUAAAAGACCUCCUCUGGAGCAGGAGCCUCCUGUGUUCCCUAGGAGCUCUGGGUUAGUCCAGCUUAGUCAGAGGAAGAGAGAGAAGUCCUUCCAGGCUAUUAUCUGUCUGAAUGUGCCAGUGGCCAGCAAAUCUGAACCAGACUGAGGUGUGUUACUGCUUUGGUUCUGAGUUCUCCUCUCAAAUUACCAUCCAAGGCACGGGAGCCAUCUUCCCCAGCAGCAGCAUCCAUGCCCAGCCCUCAGUCAGUGGAACUCGGUGUGCUUCUGAAUACCCCCUGGCAGGCCUUCCCUGUAUUUGCAGAGUCUGUGACAAGAGCAAACAAAACCUGCUGCAAAUUGGAAAAUGCUCUUCCACAAAAACAAACUAGAAAGAAAUGUGGAAAUUCUGACUUGUACAAGACUGGAAGUUGGCAGACUAUUAAAGAUGAUGAAAUUUAAUUAUCACUGCACAUGUCUGGGUGUUCUGUUGAGAAGUCAGAGAUGUCUGGAUGGGCAAAAACAUAAAUUAUACAAUGUUGUGUGCAUAGCCCAUAAAAUCUGUUUUUCUUGUAUUCCUUUCAACAAAAUUGUGUUGGUACGCUAAACAUAUUUACAUAAUUUGUGUUCUAUUGGCAGUAACUACCUAGAAAGUAUAAGUUGGCCAAUCUUUUCUGUAUGUUACUAGCUAUAGAAAUCAAUGUUUUUGAGACCCAUUUGUGA